rnacentral:rRNA from 1 species
AAUUUUCCACAAUGGACGAAAGUCUGAUGGAGCAAUGCCGCGUGAGGGAUGAAGGUCUUCGGAUUGUAAACCUCUGUUGAUAGGAAAGAAUACGUAUAAUAGGAAAUGAUUAUACUUUUGACGGUACCUGUCCAGAAAGUCACGGCAAACUAUGUGCCAGCAGCCGCGGUAAUACAUAGGUGGCAAGCGUUAUCCGGAUUUAUUGGGCGUAAAGAGUGCACAGGCGGCUUAUUAAGUCAGUUGUUAAAUACUGGGGCUCAACCCCAGUCUGCAAUUGAAACUGAUAGGCUGGAAUACAGGUGGGGGUAAUGGAAUUCCAUGUGUAGCGGUGGAAUGCACAAAUAUAUGGAGGAACACCAGUGGCGAAGGCGGUUGCCUGAACUGUAAUUGACGCUUAAGCACGAAAGCGUGGGGAGCAAAUAGGAUUAGAUACCCUAGUAGUCCACGCCGUA